AAGGUCUUAAGUUAUUAAACUAAUAGCCUUCAAAGCUGGAAUUAAAACUAUCAGUUUUAGGCCUUA
rnacentral:tRNA from 2 species